rnacentral:tRNA from 1 species
GCGUAGCUCAGUGGAUAGAGCAAUGGGUUUCUAACCCAUGUGUCGAAGGUUCGAAUCCUUCCGC